rnacentral:rRNA from 1 species
UACGUAGGGUGCGAGCGUUAAUCGGAAUUACUGGGCGUAAAGCGUGCGCAGGCGGCGGCUCAAGUCAGGUGUGAAAUCCCCGGGCUUAACCUGGGAAUUGCGCUUGAAACUAGGCUGCUUGAGUGUGGCAGAGGGGGGUGGAAUUCCACGUGUAGCAGUGAAAUGCGUAGAGAUGUGGAGGAACACCGGUGGCGAAGGCAGCCCCCUGGGUCAACACUGACGCUCAUGCACGAAAGCGUGGGGAGCAAACAGG